AUACAUGCAAGUAGAACGCUGAAGAGAGGAGCUUGCUCUUCUUGGAUGAGUUGCGAACGGGUGAGUAACGCGUAGGUAACCUGCCUUGUAGCGGGGGAUAACUAUUGGAAACGAUAGCUAAUACCGCAUAACAAUGGAUGACACAUGUCAUUUAUUUGAAAGGGGCAAUUGCUCCACUACAAGAUGGACCUGCGUUGUAUUAGCUAGUAGGUGAGGUAACGGCUCACCUAGGCGACGAUACAUAGCCGACCUGAGAGGGUGAUCGGCCACACUGGGACUGAGACACGGCCCAGACUCCUACGGGAGGCAGCAGUAGGGAAUCUUCGGCAAUGGGGGCAACCCUGACCGAGCAACGCCGCGUGAGUGAAGAAGGUUUUCGGAUCGUAAAGCUCUGUUGUAAGUCAAGAACGAGUGUGAGAGUGGAAAGUUCACACUGUGACGGUAGCUUACCAGAAAGGGACGGCUAACUACGUGCCAGCAGCCGCGGUAAUACGUAGGUCCCGAGCGUUGUCCGGAUUUAUUGGGCGUAAAGCGAGCGCAGGCGGUUUGAUAAGUCUGAAGUUAAAGGCUGUGGCUCAACCAUAGUUCGCUUUGGAAACUGUCAAACUUGAGUGCAGAAGGGGAGAGUGGAAUUCCAUGUGUAGCGGUGAAAUGCGUAGAUAUAUGGAGGAACACCGGUGGCGAAAGCGGCUCUCUGGUCU
rnacentral:rRNA from 1 species